rnacentral:ribozyme from 1 species
UAUCAUAGCGAUCAUCAAAAUGAUCCGAUCGUUUAUCGCAUACCUCCAAAAGAAAGCGGAUGAAAUGGAUUCCAGUAUUGCCAAAGCCAUAUU